rnacentral:lncRNA from 1 species
CAUGAAUGACAGCAUCUACUCCAUGCACCAUAUUCAACAAGAAAAUAAAAGCCUUUUAAGAGCUUAUGAUGGAAUGAUCCCCAUGUGGGCAGGAUUUAUAAGCUAAUAUGGAAAUUCUCCAUGAAUAUACAGAAAGACUUGUGCUCCUAUUCAUUGGGGAAGAUUCUUGCAGCUCAUUCUGGGCACAAAGAUGGAAGAGUUUCUCUGUGUGUUUUUGGCAUUCUGUGGAGAUCCACACACUCACACAUGACUGAAGGAAGGGAUGUGGUUGGUGGAGAGGUAUGCAAGAUUGUCCUUAGAGUUCCUAUUAUAUUCUGGCUGGCUCUACCAAUUACUUGGCUGCCCAUGAGUCAUCUUUAAUCUGCAAGAUCCUGGAGGGAAACAAGGAGGAUAUUGGUACUUCACAUGCAUGUGAUUUUGAGCUAGGAAAGUCCAGCAUGCAGUUAUCACUUACAACAUUAAAAGGUAUAUUCCAUAAACUAUGACAUACAAGAUCAUUUUGAAAAUAGCUUAAUUUCAUUGAUUGUUGGAAGGAUUCAAUGAGCAUAUGUGCCUAUUGAAACAGAAAAUAUGUCCAUCCAAACUCAGUUCAGCCAAGUUGUCUGCAUGGGCACAGGCAUUUAGCAAUACUUUGAACAGCAACAAUUUCUGAACAAAGUUAUAUUUUAUUGGGAAAAUGGAAACAAACUGGGGCUCAAGCCUGAGUUCUUUAAAUAUGCUUUUGAAUUAAAAUAAGUUUAGACCUACAAAAAAAUUGCCAAGUUAUUCCCAUACACCCCAUAGCCAGAUUCCCCUAUAGAUAACAUUUUUGUUAUUAAUAGCAUAUUUG